AUUGAACGCUGGCGGCAUGCCUUACACAUGCAAGUCGAGCGGCAGCACGGGUGCUUGCACCUGGUGGCGAGUGGCGAACGGGUGAGUAAUGCAUCGGAACGUACCCAGUCGUGGGGGAUAACGCAGCGAAAGUUGUGCUAAUACCGCAUACGUCCUGAGGGAGAAAGCAGGGGAUCUUCGGACCUUGUGCGAUUGGAGCGGCCGAUGUCAGAUUAGCUAGUUGGUGAGGUAAAAGCUCACCAAGGCGACGAUCUGUAGCUGGUCUGAGAGGAUGAUCAGCCACACUGGAACUGGGACACGGUCCAGACUCCUACGGGAGGCAGCAGUGGGGAAUUUUGGACAAUGGGGGCAACCCUGAUCCAGCCAUGCCGCGUGAGUGAAGAAGGCCUUCGGGUUGUAAAGCUCUUUCGGCCGGGAAGAAAUCGUGCAGGCUAAUACCCUGUAUGGAUGACGGUACCGGAAUAAGAAGCACCGGCUAACUACGUGCCAGCCGCCGCAGUAACAC
rnacentral:rRNA from 1 species